GUGGCUUUAGUAAUUGGGUUUGUCCCCCAGUUUGUGAUGAUUACUGAAAGAGUUUGCAUGUGAGAAGGACAAACAGACUGUUUGCAAACUGAGAUGACUGAGGCUCAGAUGCUCCUAGAGGAGAAUGAGUGCAAUUUGACAGGAGGCUUUCUGGUAUUUGAGUGUGUUUGCACAAGCCAGUGGGCAUCCAUUUCAUAGGCUGUGCUGUCUUGCUCGCUUCAGAUUGAGUAGGGUUUUAAGACAGAGGUAUGUGUGUCUUUCACAGUAUCGUUGUUGGGUUUUAGAGAGGGAUGAGAAAAAAUGAUGGUUAGAAUGACAGAGUGAUUGACAACUUGCUUUUAAAACUUGAGGCAAUAAAAGCACGGGCCCCUCAAAUUGCACCUACCUGUUAACCGGUUAGGAAGCUGUGCUCAGCAUCACUGUUAGACAUGUAACUAUCUGACUUAGUGGUUAGACUGCAAAUUAGGUCUCACAUCUCUACCUAUGCUGUAGCCCUUCCAGGUCAGGGGACUGUGUAGAGUCCCCGGAUGUGUAAAUGUGGUUUCAUCCUUCAGUGUGGACAAGAGGAAACCUACCUGCAUAGCCUUGAACUUUUGCAGGGCUGUAACAUAACACAUGAACAAUUUUUCACCUGUUAAGUGGCUCAAUAGUACCUUAAGUCAAGGCACUACUUGUUCUGUCAGCCCUAGAGAAAAUACAAGUGUGGAGGAGAUCUGGGCUGGACUUCCAGUCAGUGAAGAGGGGUAAGCAUUGUACUCCAGCUGGAACCACAUUGCUCUGGCUUCUGUAAAAGCAUUUUCUUUUAGACCUGUGCUUGUCUGGUGUCACAUAGAUCUGGUUAGAGGUAAAGUAGUCUGAAAAAGCAGCUACAGAUGACCUUGUCUUGUAAGCAGGGUAGCUCAGCCUUGCUAGCAACAAGCUGCAGGUGCAUGCAUAGUGCUGAAAGUCUUUGUUUUCCAGGUUUUCUGUGGAGAAUUGAACCUGUCUCUUUCAGUCCUUCCUGCUCUGCCAGACAUGAUUGUCUGCUAAGAAACAGGAAGAGAGUAGUGUCCAUGAUACUUGGAGAACUGAGGCUGGUGGAUUUGAACAAGAGGCAGAAGUACCCAAUGCCAUCAGCAAACUGGGGAAGAUGUGGUGAGAAAUGUGCAUGUUCCUUUGUUUAUGCUACUUCUUAUUUUUCUUCAGAGCAAAGAAACAUCCAGAAGAAUAUCAAUGAUGAUGUGUAUGUGGGCUCUAGAAGUCAAGUAGAUAUUUCUCGUUGCUGGCUUGAGACUGCAGCAUUCAAUGUGACUUCCAGACAGACAGAAGAACAAGGUUGGGUGUAUACCACACCUCCGUCAGACAGGAGGAGAGAUCCCAGUCUGAGACAGACUAACCUGUCCUGCCCUUUCCAGCCAUUCCAGGACAUCACCAGCAAAUUCUCCAGUUCCUGCUUGCAACAGGAGAGAAUCUCAGCAGAGAAUAAUCUCUGCUCUAGGCUGCAGCUGCAUGGCUCAAAGCAUGUGGCUCAUAAGAUCCCCUGUCUUGCUUUGUCAGUAAGUCCUGCUGUGAAUCUCCCUCAGAGACACUCCUGUCUUGAGGCUUAUAGUUUAGAGGGGAAAAGGAGGGAGAACAUUGACUCUCCUCAACACCACCAUUGGAAAGCAAAUGCAGCUGGUAGCUGCUCCAUACACACAGCUUGGCAUCACUGUUUAGGAGGCAGGAACAAGGAUAGUGGCUAUCUGGUGGAAAAACGACCGCAUCAAUCUCCUUCUGCCUCUUGUAUGGAUCCUGUGAACCCUCCACUGGUCAAUACACAUUUGUCAUCUCAUAGUGUAGAGCCCCCUCUUAGGCAUGAAUUAGCAGUGUGUCCCUCUUCAAGGAGCUCAAGUGAAAGGGUGAGUGCUUGUCAUAGUUCAGCCCUGACCUUGGGGGAUCUUGAUUCAUCUAGUUUAGAGUCCCUUCAGACUCUUUUGCAGUCCUCACAGAUCUCUGCUAGCUUGUACUGUGCAACUCAGAGGCUUAAGCAAGAAACUGCUUUGAUGGGGAUGUCAGGCUCUCUCCCUCUGGAGCGCAAGUCUUCCACAGUUAGUAGAAGUUUCUGCUUUGCUCCUGAUGAUUCACCUCCUAGUAGCCAGAGCACAAGAGAACAGCUAGCUGGAGUAAAGACCAGUGUUGCUCAGGCAAGGUUGAAAUGGGGUGUCCCGUUUGCUAAGGACUGGAGCUAUACUGCAGCAACAAGGGACUUCAGUCAUGAAGAACCUCUCUCUGUCUCUCAUAGAUAUGGAUACAUUGACUUGAAUGCAUGGAGAACCAAAAUUUCAGGUGACAUUCAGCCAGAAACACUCACUUCUGGAGUGGGGUCUGGCAGGCUAGUGGAUACAGAAGCAGAUUCCUCAUGCAAUUGCUCCCCUUAUUUCAGAUGCCAAUCCCAGGCAAAAGCGGCUCUGGAAAGUGGAAGUCUUUAUGUUCACACACAAAGUCAUUCCCCUGGGAAGGUUCUUAAAGGAGAAGAGACAUCUAAUGGGGCAACCCCAUGUGCUGUAUCUUGGAAGAAAGACCUUCCAACCAGUCUGUAUCCAGAGGGUCUGCAGGUGUCACUGGAAACAGAUUUGGGGGGGGCUCAGAUGAACAUUGGUGUAGCCAUGUAUGGGACUCCAAGGGAAGUGUGUGUGAGAGUCACUUCUCCUGGAGAUAAAGAGUUUAGACCAGUCCAGCAGCUUAGUAUUAAAUCUGUAGAAGUCAACAACUCUAAACCUCAUGUUAAGUUCAGGAAAAAAACAGAAGAGAUGUAUGACUCAGGAGCAGCCAAGAGAGUGGCUGUGGUGGGCAGCAACCAGUCCAGUCCUUUUCGCAUUCAAGUUGAAGAAGGCUUUGGUGAAUUUUCUAAGAUAGAUUGUGUGAAUGUGAGCAGAGAAGGAAGAAGAAACAAAUAUUCCCAGAGGAGGAGAAAUUUGGAAGCUGAUGCUAAUCUCAAACACUCUGAAGAACCUUCUCUGGAGGAGAGUGCCGAAGAACCAUGGUGUGGUGAAGAAAGGAGCCAGACACAGGGAACUGUGUCCAGAGAGGUCUCAGAAAACAGCUUCUGGUCAUCGAAGGUGAAUGAGCAAAGUUUCCAGUACUUCUGUGACAGACAAAUGUUAACUCGGUGUUUCCAAGCCUGGAGGGAACACAUCCUGUGGAAGAGGGCUGUGGCCAGGCAGCUUUACAGACAGCAAUUGCUUCGGAAGGGCCUUGGUGCCUUGCGGUGGGCUGUGCACCAGAGGAGCAUGCAGCUGGAAGCAGCUCAGCAGAGACAUGCCUUGGCACUACUCACUGUCAGCUUC